UACAGAGGGUGCGAGCGUUAAUCGGAAUUACUGGGCGUAAAGCGCACGUAGGUGGCGACGUAAGUCGGGUGUGAAAGCCCCGGGCUCAACCUGGGAAUUGCAUUCGAGACUGCAUUGCUGGAGUACGGAAGAGGAGGGCGGAAUUCCCGGUGUAGCGGUGAAAUGCGUAGAUAUCGGGAGGAACAUCAGUGGCGAAGGCGGCCCUCUGGUCCAGUACUGACACUCAAGUGCGAAAGUGUGGGGAGCAAACAGG
rnacentral:rRNA from 1 species